CUGCAGAGAUGACGACCCUGAACUCUCUCUUUCCGACCCACACAUGGAGAAACCCCUUCACAACCCUCUGAGCAGC
rnacentral:snoRNA from 1 species